CCUACGGGUGGCAGCAGUGAGGAAUAUUGGUCAAUGGCCGGAAGGCUGAACCAGCCAAGCCGCGUGAAGGACGAAGGUGCCAAGCAUUGUAAACUUCUUUUGUCAAGGGACAAAAUCAGGCUCGAGAGCCUGACCGAGGGUACUUGAAGAAAAAGCAUCGGCUAACUCCGUGCCAGCAGCCGCGGUAAUACGGAGGAUGCGAGCGUUAUCCGGAUUUAUUGGGUUUAAAGGGUGCGUAGGCGGACUGUUAAGUCAGCGGUAAAAGCCCGGGGCUCAACCGUAAAAUUGCAGUUGAAACUGGCAGUCUUGAGUACAGUAGAGGUGGGCGGAAUUCGUGGUGUAGCGGUGAAAUGCUUAGAUAUCACGAAGAACUCCGAUUGCGAAGGCAGCUCACUGGACUGCAACUGACACUGAUGCUCGAAAGUGUGGGUAUCAAACAGGAUUAGAUACCCCUGUAGUC
rnacentral:rRNA from 1 species